rnacentral:misc_RNA from 1 species
GAUGAAGAGCGCAGCGAAAUGCGAUAAGUAAUGUGAAUUGCAGAAUUCCGUGAAUCAUCGAAUCUUUGAACGCACAUUGCGCCCCCUGGCAUUCCGGGGGGCAUGCCUGUCCGAGCGUCAUUUCUGCCCUCCAGCCCGGCUGGGUGUUGGGCGCUGUCCCCCCGGGGACACGCCCCAAAGGCAGUGGCGGCGCCGCGUCGGGUCCUCGGGCGUAUGGGGCUUUGUCACCCGCUCGGGACGGACUCGUCGGCGCUGGUCUUCCUCCAGGCGACCCUUCGGGGCUCGUCUUCCUUCGGUUGACCUCGGAUCAGGUAGGGUUACCCGCUGAACUUAAGCAUAUCAAUAGCGGAGGA